rfam:Ciona savignyi cont_55049, whole genome shotgun sequence.
UCGUGAGACAGGUUAGUUUUACCCUACUGAUGAAGCGUUGUUUCCACAGUAAUCCUGCUCAGUACGAGAGGAACCGCAGAUUCAGACAUUUGGUUCAUGUGCUUGGCUGAUAAGCCAAUGGUGCGAAGCUACCAUCUGAGGGAUUAUGACUGAACGCCUCUAAGUCAGAAUCCCGCCUGGAAAGCGACGAUGCAUUCGUGCCUCGGCCUCGAGAGGCGUAGCUAGACGGCCGUGUGGCCGUGGAAAGAGCCCGAUUCCGACCCGAGAGGCCGCGGCAAGAGGCGGCCUCGAAGUCGGUGGAUCCUCCUGCUCGAAAGGCGGGGUGCUAAACCAUUCGCAGACGACCUAGUUGAAGAUCGGGGUGUCGUGAUCACUAGAGCAGUACAUCUCACUGCGAUUUGUUGAGAGUAAGCCUCAAGAUCUGUCGGUUUGU